rnacentral:misc_RNA from 1 species
AAAGUCGUAACAAGGUCUCCGUUGGUGAACCAGCGGAGGGAUCAUUACCGAGUUUACAACUCCCAAACCCCUGUGAACAUACCUAUCGUUGCUUCGGUGGGAUCGCCCCGGUGCCAUUGCGGCCCGGACCCAGGCGCCCGCCGGAGGACCCAAACUCUUGAAUUUAUGAAGUAUCUUCUGAGUAAACAAGCAAAUAAAUUAAAACUUUCAACAACGGAUCUCUUGGUUCUG